AUGUCUCACCUGAGGAACUCUUGUGUGGAUAGGGCGCAGCAGAGAACUUCUACAAACAGCAACAUCAAGCCCUUUUUAAUCAGCCCAGCCUCAAAACGGUACCGGUUGACCAGGAAUUCUCCCAAUUUCCACUCUGCUUCUGCCAGUAGCCAGGUAGAUAUCAAGACAUGAAAGUGAACAUUGGACAGCCGUCAUUUAGGUAAAGAGAUUAUAUGAGCAACAGCAACAAAGCCACUGCCUAUAAAACAUUCACCCUAAAGUGAUCCACAUCAGGGCCACACUAGGGCCAGACACAAGACCUAGUCCUCACCUGCAGACAGAGACUACAUUUGGAUAAGACCUAGUCCUCACCUACAGACAGAGACUACAGGUGGAUAAGAC